UGAUGCUGUGGGUGGUGCAUUUCAGUAGUGGCAACAGUGGGUCAACUCCACUAGUACAGAUUUUUACAAGUGCAGAAUGCAGGCUUUUGUUCAUCACUGGUAAAAAUGCAUAGUUACUGGUGGUGACUGCAUGGAAAAGUUUUCUGUAGCUGAGAAUUUGCUCUGUCAACUAGUAUUAUCGUGCUUUUUGUAUCUGCUGUAGUUUCCAUGGAAAUAAAUAGGAGGCGUUACUUUUGGAGUGAUCUACAUAAUGUUCUCAGGCUUGUUCACAUAAACAAAUCCAUUCCUUUCUAAACCAUGAAAGUGUCUGUGUGUGGAUGUGCACAGGUUUAAUAGUACAGAAUUAUCUAUAAAGUAUGUGAGAUAGUGUUUUGAGAGAGGAAAUAAGAAGGAAGGAAACAAUGAGGAGCUCUGGAAGGCAGAAAAUGCUAUUUUCGAGUUGGAGUCAGUAUGCCAUAAGUAUCUAAUUUCACAGAUACUUAAUGUCACGUAUAUCAUGCUCUCAUAGAUUUUUAAUACACUUUAUUUUUGUACAUGCUAGUAACAUGCCACAGUAUACUUCUAAAAACCACAAAAAGACAACAUUAAUGGGAUUCUAACUUACUUGAUUUUCUGGGACUUGACUGCAAGAAUAGCUCAAAAAGCUAAAAGAUGACCUGGUGUUUGAGAGAGAUAAAGGGACCUUGAUUGUAUAUUGAUACUAAUUUUCAUUGAGAUCAUUUGGCUGCAGCAUCCAAAGAGAACAUUCUCAUUAACUAUUGCUCAGUUAAAAUGUAAUAACUUGGAAAAAAAAAAAAAAAAGGCAAAAGUGACUGAAAUACAGUGUCUGGAUGCAGCUAGGUUUUUGGCCAUCUUGGGUUCCCAGUCCUCUGUAUUCUAUGCACAAUACUUUGGCCAGAACAAAAUACUAUAGAUGUGAGAAGAAAAUGUACUGCAUCAUCGUGAUCUAAAGCACAUGUCUCAGCCACUCCAUCUUUCCUCAAAAUUUAGCCAGUGGCAACACAUUAUAACGCUUAUGAGUCCAUUCAGCACAGGGCUGUGUUACACGUGUAUGCUGGCCUAUUCAUUAAAAUUCAGAAGUUGUAAAGCAUUAAACUUGCCUACUACAAGGAUUUUUUUGUAUGGAUAGUCCAGACAGGCUCAUAAAAGUCCCCGGUGCUUUACAUUCUAGAUUGAACUCUACGACAAUAAAGCUCCUUGAAAUUACAUGUAUAUGGAACUAAACUAAAUACCACAAUGUAAAGAAAACUGCCAAAGCACCACACUGUGUUCUUAAAUGGCCAACUUAAUCACUCUCAGUAAGGUUAGUAUCUGUGCACUAGCUGAAUUAAGCUGUUCUUAUAUUUCACAGCUAGAGUUCCAGUAAAAUUGGAGCAUGAUAUUCAAAUACCUUCCUCUCCAUUGAAGAUUUUACUCAUAGUCUCAAAAUAAAUGUUUUCUGGAAAUAAUUUUUGUGAAGAAAGCUAAUAUGAAUAAGUGUAGGGUGUACAAUAGACUGCCUUUUAGCUAAUCCAUCUAUUUUAUCAUUCUUACCUGAGAAGAAGCAUUUUUUCUUCACCUUUCAUGAAAGUUUCAGUGUUAGAUUUGCACAUUCUAUAAAAUACUUACAUGUGUAACACAGCAAGUAUGUGCAAUCCUGCUGAUGCAACAAAUGCUGUGAAAGAACUUUCAGACCUUGUGGCAAAGCAUCAUCUGUGACAGCCACAGAGUCAGUCUGCAGGUAGGUGCAUGUCAGGUAAACCAUGGCUUUUCAGAUUUCACAUUUUUAGAAAUGAUUCAGAGUACUUACUGGAACAAAGUAGCUAAUGAUCUUGUCUAAAUAAUUAUGACAAGAAUAGAUGAUAUGAUUUUCCUAGCUGAAAUUACAGUAGUAAAAAGUAGGUAAAUCACUGAGUCUUGAAUUAUGGUUUGGGGACUGCUUUCUUUUUCUUUUUCUUUUUCUUUUUCUUUUUCUUUUUCUUUUUCUUUUUCUUUUCCUUUUCCUUUUCCUUUUCCUUUUCCUUUUCCUUUUCCUUUCCUUUUCCUUUUCCUUUUCCUUUUCCUUUUCCUUUUCCUUUUCCUUUUCCUUUUCCUUUUCCUUUUCCUUUUCCUUUCUUUCUCUUCCUCUUCUUCUUCCCCUUCCCCUUUCCCUUUUCUUUUUUUUUUUUUAAUUGUUUCACUUAAAUCCUCAGCCAAGAUCUCAUAGAUGUAUUUGUAAAUGCUUAUACACACACGCGUAUACUUUAGCUUCUAUGUGCACACUAUAAAUUAUACCUUUUAAAGAUGAAUUCCUUUACCAACUUGAGAUUCUGUAGCAAUCCCUGUAAACUAGAAAAUGCAGCAACAAUGAGUAAUCACUGGAUUUCCACGUGCUUUCCAUUUUAACAUUUAAAUGGAAUUUACAUUUAAAAGUUCCUUACAUUUUCACUUCAGCAUUUCCUAUGUCCCAUUCAGCAUCAUCCUUGUUGGAAUUAUGGUGACCUCUGGCAGACAAGCAAGUAGGAAGUUGGGAGUCAUGAAUUCUGACACUGUUCCAAUGCCAAAUGUGGCACAAUGGGUCGAAGUUACUUUGAGGGUGUCCAUAGCUGCACUGAGGAAACCACAACUCUGCAGGUAUCUGCUUGCAAAAAUAGUAUUAUUUCACGAGGCAUGUUCUCUGCUAUUUGUGUAUGAAUGGGACAAGUAUACUGACAACACAGUUUGACAGAAUGGUAAGAAUUUCUGCACUGAUUAUUCUGGCUGAUUCAAUCCUACAAGUGCACAUUUUCUACACAGAAAUCUGUAGAAAGCAUUAUGGUCUGUUGCUUUCUUAUCAUCAUAGAAAAUUGAUGAAGAUGGAAGGUGUAUGUCAUUCUAUGUAGUCACUGUUCAGAAUGGCAAUGUUGCUCAAAAAUUCUGCAUGUGAUCCAACACUUUGGGGUUGCUGAUAUUACCUAAUUAAUGGCCUAUUGCAGACAGCUGUGAUCUUUGAAUAAUGACUGGUUCCAUUCCAAACAUUUUAUACUGGGAAACUACUGUGCCCUUGUGUCAGUUUUUUCUGCCUUUAACAGACAUGAACCCAUGGUUCAGGUGUAGUGUCUAUUUCCUUUGUGAACUGGUGGGCCUGUACAUUUGGUUUUAUAUUGCCUUGUAUAAAUCAGAUCAAUGUAAAAUGAAUGACAUCCCUGAAUAGUGUUCCCUUCUCUCAUUGUGACUUGUGUUUCCUGUGGCCUGAAUUUUUAUAGUAUGUGAAGUGUAAAGCAGAUAUGCAACAUACAUACCGCUGGUUUCAGUAUCAUGAAAAAGAGAGCUCAUGGAGCAAUGGAUGCUGAGCUUGCACUCCUUAAUCUGAAUGACUCAAUAACUUGUUAUGGACAGCUUCCUCUCAUAUGCUUGACUCUUUGACACACCAUUCAUGUUCAUACCAAGGAAUUUCCAAUUAAAAAAGCUUAUCUUCUUCACAAUUUUUCUGCAGUGUGAUCAAAAGUGAUUUUUUUUUUUUUUUUUUGGUAAUGUGUGUUACUUCACAAAAAAAGUAUUCCUCUCCUUAAUUUGUCACCAAUUUCAAAAGAGAUAAAGCCUUUUAUAGAUUCCACCACAGACUUGGGACUUCUCAAAUAUAACACACCCUUGAGUUCACAGAGGGUCAAAUACACUUCUGUGCAGUGGGUUAGCACAGAUCUUAUCAUUAUGAAAGUUCCUCAUAAAUCUUGAACAUAGGAUUUUUCUCUUUAUAAAGAUGAUUUUUGCCUAACUCAAAUUACAUUUUGUAGUGAAUGGGAAUGUGAGUGUUUGGAGAGGCCUUUAAACAUCAAUUGUAGUUAAGAAGCUGAAUGCAGUGCAGAUAUGGACAUUGCAGUGCAGCCUUUAUUAAUCAGUGAUCACAAUGUUGAUUUCUUCCUGAAGUUAAAAACAUAUAAAUGUGACCUACUAGAUUAAAUUCCAAAUGUUCCUGAGUCUCUAUUCUGGAUUUGCCAUUGUUUUGUGCCUAACCAGGGGUGAGUCACUUCAACUUUUUGAAGUAUGGAGUACAUACAAUACAGGAUAUUUCCAUUGUGCCUAGUAUAGCAACAGAUGUUAAUUAAUGUGUCUGCAACUUCACAAAGCAUAUACAAUACACAAAAGCAUAGCUCCGCAUGUAGAUCUUUCCCCAGGGCACAGAAAUUCGUGUCUACUUUAGACAAAUUUUAUUUUCUCCAUGACAGCUUUGUUGAUAUUAAAUGACUGGAACUCAAGCUGUGUUUAUGGGUUACAACUGGUUGCAAUCUGUAAGAUUUGACUAUGCAAAUUUAAUUCUGAUCCUAUGUUUCAGAGAAACUGCUUGUUGAAGGAAGAUUUAGAAUUUGUUUUCCAUUCAUAUUUAAGCUUGAGUUUAAAAUUUUCACUAACAAAAUUCCGAUGCACCAUUAUACAUAGAAACCUAAUAUGGAAAGGUCAGUAAGCUGGUUGGAAAAAGAAAAAAACCUGAAAACUCAAUGAUUUACAGAAAAUAUUUAUGCACUUCUUACCUGGAUCUAGCAGAAAAUUUAGAAGAUAAAUGUAUUGUCAUGUAUUUUACUCCUCUCCCCUUUUAUUUUUUGUUGUAGUUCUAAGUUUUUUGUUUGUUUGUUCACUUUUUUGUUUGUUUGUUUGUGUUUUUCUUGGAGACUGGAUUUUACUUUCAAUCUUCUAUGGAAUCACAAUAUCUUUAAGGUUGGAAAAAACCUCUUGAGAUCUCCUCCAACCCUCCUGCCCAAGGAUGGUUAGCUAGAAGUGAUUGCCCAGGACCAUGCACUGUCAAGUUUUGAGUAUUUCCACAGGCAGACUCCACAGCCACUGGACAACAUAAUCCUGUGUUUGAUCACCUUCCCAGUAAAAUGUGUAUUUUUUAUUAAGUUGGAAUUUUAUAUGUUUGAAUUUGUGCCCUCUGUCUCUUGUGCUGACAAUGGGCAAGUAGUCUGGUUUAAUCUUCAUUCCUUGCCAUCAUGUUGUUAUGUACAUUGAUACGAUCCCACCAAACCUUUCUUUUCUCCAGGCUGAACAGUCUCAGCUGCUCCUUGUAUGAGAGGUGUUCUAAUUCCUUAGUCAUCUUUGUGGCUCUUUGCUGGGCCAUUAAGUCCACGUGUCUCAUGUACCAGAGAACCCAGCACUGGACAUAGUAUUACAGAAUGACUAGUGUGGAGUAGAGAGGUAGAAAUUUCUUCCUCAACCUGCGGGCCUACAGCAGCCCAGGAUGCUGUUGGCCUCCUUUGUUGCCAGGGCAUAUUGCUGCCUCAUGGUCAGCUUGUUGUCCACCAAGACCCUGCGGUUCUUCUCUGUAAAGUUAUUUUGAAGUCAGUUGUGCUCUGCAUAUAGUGAUCCCUGAAGGUUAUUCCUCCCCGGGUGCAGGUCUUGGCAUUUUCCUUUGUUGAAUGUAAUGAGACUCCUGUAGGCCUGUCUUCUAGACUUCCCAGGUCCAUCUGAAUGGCAACACAACCCUAUCAUGUUAGCUACUUCUCCCUGUUUUAUACAAGCUGGAAACUCACAGAGGGUGUCUUCUGUCCCAUUGUCUAGGUCGUUAAAGAAGAUUUUAAACAGUACAGACACAAUAUUGAGUAUGCUGCUAAUGACAUGCCACCAACUGUUACUUUCUAUGGCUGAAUACAGAGCUCUGGGCUUGGACGUUUAGCCAGUUUUCACUCCAACUCACUGUCAUCAGUUUGUCUCUGGCUAUGGUAUGGGGAGAAAGUUUUACUAAAUUCAAGGUAAAAAACAUCCAUUGCUGUCCUGUUAUCCAUCAAGCUAGUUACCUCAUUGCAGUAGUCUGUCAGGUUGGUGAGGGACAGUUUCUCCUUUGGAAAAAUAAGUUCACUGUUCCUUGUAGCCUUCAUGUACUUCAGCUGAGAGUAAGCCUUUCUUGCUCCAGAAAUAAGUCUGUUAAACUCAAAGUAGAGCAGCAUGCAGCCAUUAGUACUGAGCCUUUUGAUUUAAUGUAAUGUGGCAUUAUUAUUUAUUUAUUUAUUUCCACUUGAGUGAUACUGAAAGAUACUGUGCAUCCUAAAUUCCUCCUGUAGUCCCCUGGCAUCUGUAUUCUCACUGUCAUUUUCCAGGAUCAACCUCUCCAGUGUUGCUUAUGUAUAAACUUGAGAAAUGAAUCCUGAAGAUAUGACAUACAUUUUGUUUGUUAUUUUAGGCCACUUUAUACUUGAUCUGAUCUUCAAGGUCAAUGUUCUGUUCUAUUUUUUAGGAUAAACAAAUCUGUAUCCUUCUUUGACCAGGACAUCACAUCCUAAAAAUAUGUAUGACAGAGCUGCAGUUUACACUAUAUUUCUUUCGUCAGUUGGACUUUAUAGCCAAUAGGAAAGAAGCAUAGUGUUGUUCCCUGCCUGGAUUUAUGGCCUUGCCUUCAUUAUUUCUAUAAUUCUUUAUUGCUGCAAGUCCUGGGAAAGCUUAUAUUUCAGCAAGAUGCAACUGAGUCCUCUAAGAGUGAUGACCAAUCAGAUGAAAGCCUGUCCCGAUGUAUCCUGAGGCAUUUGUUCAGGUCUUGCCCUGGACUGAUGCAGGCAGCCACUUCCUAUGGCCCUGCUAUGGUUGGACAACACGUAUGGAAAUGGUCAGACGUGAACAGGAAGGUGCUUUCCUAAUCUGACACUACUCUGAAAAAGAAUUACAAGAACUACUAUUUCAAUCAAAAAAAUGUUUGACCUUGCUUAUAUGGACUUGGAUCAAAAUGACAGUGUAAAGAACAAUAUAUUCAGUUGCUCAGCAAAGCCCAUAGAAUUCUGCAUACUGCUUGGAAAUGCAACCCCAGUAAAAUCAGGGAAUUAGGAGCUGUGUCGGAAAACAUAUCUGGACUCCAUUUCACAUAUUCUCUGAGAUUCACUAAAAUAUUCAUCAAGAGAGAUUCUAUGACUCCAAGGCAGAAUUUAAUGGGACCAGAACUGGGGCGGAUUGUUGAGGAUGCUUGUACAGAGGCCAUAAUGUCUGUAUAAAAUGUUAUAACUUGCAAUCAUAUUCCUGACCUGAUCCAGCAGGAAUGAUAUAAAUACCAGUGUUUUAGCUGGUCUGGGAUAGGCAUUAAUCUACCUCCUGCUUUCACUGAUACAAAGAGGAACAAAGAAAUAUAUAUCUCCAAUAAUUAUACAAGAUAUCCUCCAGCAGUAAUGCCUCCUAUUUUAUGACAUUGGCCAUGGUGUCAGAGGCACAUGUUGGUGGUAUGGCAGUAGAGCUUGAACCUCCCUGCCAAAGUUCCAUUCCAUUCUCUUGCUGUGUGAUGGUUGGCAGCAGAGGGGAAGUCUGACAGAACGUUGUCUGGCAUAGAAGUGAACAUGAAGUAAAGGUGUGUUGCUGAAUUCCUCCAUAUGGAAAAAAUAGCACCCAUUUACAUUCACUGGUGCUUGCUGAAUGUUUCUGGAGACCAAACAGUGAAUGUGAGUACAGUGAAGUGGUGGGUGGUGCGACAGCAGAGGCGACAGUGACAGUGGUUCACCUCUGCUGGUACAGAUUUUUCCAAGUGCAGCAUGAAGGCUCUUGUUUGUGGCUGACAAAAAUGCAUAUCUAAUGGUGAUGACUAUGUUGAAAAAUUGGGUUUUGUAGCUGAGAAUUUGCUCUAUCAAAUAGUGUUAUUGUGGUCUUCAUUGUAGUUUCCAUGGAAAUAAAUAUGAACCAUUACUUUUGAAACAACCUGCGUAAUUUAACUGGAAAUUUAAAACCUAUGUGUAACAAAGAGAAGAUUAAUGUAACGGAAGAGCUUUCUAACAAGAAUUCUAAAUCCUAAUUUGAUAAAGCCCAAAUCCUAAUUUAGUUAACAUAGAACUUGAUCUGCCUAUGAAAGGGAUUAUGUAUGUCAUUGCCUGUAAUUGCCAAAUGGAAAUGGAAUACCUCAACAGGCCCAUUCCAAUCUCAUAUUUUUAAAAAGCCUUCUAUAUUUUUGUAUUCAUUUUUCUACCAAAUGGGGAUGGUUUUUGAGCUUAAAAUAUGAUGGAAAAAUUAAACUGUUCCUUUCUUAACUCUUUUGUAUAAACACCUGUAAAAUCAAUCUUUGUAAAAGUUUGAGUGAUUGGUCAAGUUGCCCAAAUGGCAACUAAGUUUUGUACAUUUUUAUUCAUUUGCAUUCUUAGUUAUGCUUGUAUUUCUAAAGUUUAUCUCCUCUACAGGGAAGAAGAAGUGACAAAGAGCUGAUGUGAGAGACAGAAAUUAUCAACAAAUGAAUCCUAAAAUGCUUAAAAGUUUUUCUCGAGAAGUGUAAUCACUAUACAUAGAAUUACAGGUGUCUCAGAAGGCUGCUUCUCUAAUGUUCCUAACAUCAAAAUGACACUGGCAGAGUCUGUCUAUCAUGGUGGUUGUUUUGUGUGUCCCGGUACACGAACAGUUUGAAUUCCUUCUGCCUAUCAGAUCUCUAUGAAGUCCAAGACUUAAACUGGUGAUUCUGAGAAUGCUCAUGAACAGCUGAAUGUACAGAACCCUUCGUUUGGAUGUGAGGAAAUGGAUGUGUUUGAGAGAAAGGGCCACCAAGAGAGGAACAUCAGGGCACCAUGUCUGGGGCUUGAGGAUCUGAGCUCAAUUUUCACUUCUGAUAGAGCUUUCUUGACUCAGUGUGAACAGUUUACUUUUUCUUGUACUGCUUCUGCACUUGGAAAAUUGGACUACUCCUGAACAGAACUGUUGGAAGGCUACAUUAUUCUUGGUGGGGUGCUCAUACAUGGCACUCUGUGACUGCAAAAUACAGGCUUGUCAAGAUCUGAAUGACAAAAAGGAGCUUCAUUUUUUUGGUCUAUUACUUUCCCUUGCAUGGCAGAAUGAAUAUUGGUUACAUGAAGAUUUGAACAAUAUUAUGUGAAAGCAAAAAUAAGAAGGAAAAAAAGAAAUAUUCUGUCAAGAGAACUUUUCUGAGAUCUGAUCCCUCUUGCAAAUAAAAUUAAUUGUGGCAUGUAGUAAUACAUUAAUUUCCUUGUAAAAUAGCUGAGCCAGUUUUUAAUUGUCUGCUUACAAAGAUUUGCACUGAACUAGAACUGAUCUUCCUAUUAUUUUCCUUUCAAGAAAAUAUGCUGUACAUAUUUUCUUGACUGAGUGCCUACUACGUUUUGUAUUUUUUGUCAUAUGCUAGCAUCUGAUAUGUUUAGUUAAAUACUUUGUAGGUGUUACUGUUCCCUAGAAUGAAAGAUCUAGACUUUAGAGCAAAACAUAUUCCUUCUUCUGAUAUAAACCCUGUACUUUUUAAAAAGCAUGCAGUUUAAAAAAAAAAAAAACACCAAAAACAAACAUAUGUACCUUGAGUGCCAUUUCUGGGAGUGAAUUGUCACGUACUAUUGCUACAGUGUAGGAAAACAGCCACCAUUUUUGUGCUAAAUUUCAAGUGUAGC
ensembl:lncRNA